rnacentral:rRNA from 1 species
GCUUGUCUCAAAGAUUAAGCCAUGCAUGUCUAAGUACAAGCCUCAGUAAGGUGAAACCGCGAAUGGCUCAUUAAAUCACACCUAAUCUACUGGAAAGUUACUAGUUACUUGGAUAACUGAGGUAAUUCUUGAGCUAAUACAUGCAAAAAAACCCAGACUUACGAAUGGGUGCACUUAUUAGAUAAAGCCAACGCUGGGUAAAACCAGUUUCCCUUGGUGAUUCAUAAUAAUUAAGCGGAUCGCAUGGCCUUGUGCUAGCGACAGUCCACUCGAUUUUCUGCCCUAUCAUGGUUGAGAUUGUAAGAUAGAGGCUUACAAUGCCUACAACGGGUAACGGGGAAUUAGGGUUCGAUUCCGGAGAGGGAGCCUGAGAAACGGCUACCACAUCCAAGGAAGGCAGCAGG